GCGCCCGUAGCUCAGUGGAUAGAGCAGAGGUUUCCUAAACCUCGUGCCGCAGGUUCGAUUCCUGCCGGGCGCACCA
rnacentral:tRNA from 1 species